UACGGAGGGUGCAAGCGUUAUCCGGAUUCACUGGGUUUAAAGGGUCCGUAGGUGGCCAACUAAGUCAGACGUGAAAUCCCUCAGCUUAACUGGGGAACUGCGUCUGAGACUGGAUGGCUCGAGUGCAGGAGAGGAAUGCGGAAUUCCAGGUGUAGCGGUGAAAUGCGCAGAUAUCAGGAGGAACACCGGUGGCGAAGGCGGGUCUCUGGGCCGAUACUGACGCUGAGGAGCGAAAGCGUGGGGAGCGAACAGG
rnacentral:rRNA from 1 species